rnacentral:lncRNA from 1 species
AGCAAGGUUUGAAGCAUUGUGAAGUUGAGAAGUUGAACACAGUUGUCGGUCGUCCUUGUCAUGCACGUGCUCAUCGUUUGUUGCGGACGCGGUGGUCUUAAAGGUGGUUUCAGCAAAUGCUUCACAACUACAUGGCGCGGCCAUAUCUGGCUCUGGCAUGAGGGGGAAAGGCCACUAUGGGAAGCAAGCUUCCGGUGUCGUGGGAGAAACCCGUGUGGAUACUAUUUUUUGAAGUCCUUCCAGGUGCUUAGCAGCUCGCAUGCUGUCUGCAGUGUCCCAACAAAACUCUUCCAACACAGCGAGGGCCUCCGUGGCUUCCU